rnacentral:rRNA from 1 species
UGGGGGAUAUUGCACAAUGGGCGGAAGCCUGAUGCAGCGACGCCGCGUGGGGGAUGAAGGCCUUCGGGUUGUAAACUUCUUUUGCUCUGAACAAGGCGCACCAUGGGGUGUGUUGAGUGUAGGGGUUGAUUAGCGCCGGCUAACUACGUGCCAGCAGCCGCGGUAAUACGUAGGGCGCGAGCGUUGUCCGGAAUUAUUGGGCGUAAAGGGCUUGUAGGUGGCUGGUUGCGUCUGUCGUGAAAGCUCAUGGCUUAACUGUGGGUUUGCGGUGGGUACGGGCUGGCUUGAGUGCAGUAGGGGAGGCUGGAAUUCCUGGUGUAGCGGUGGAAUGCGCAGAUAUCAGGAGGAAUACCGGUGGCGAAGGCGGGUCUCUGGGCUGUUACUGACACUGAGGAGCGAAAGCAUGGGGAGCGAACAGG